rnacentral:rRNA from 1 species
AACGUACGCUGGCGGCACGCCUAACACAUGCAAGUCGAACGAAGUAGCAAUACUUAGUGGCAGACGGGUGAGUAACAUGUAGGUAUCUACCCUUUGGCCUGGAAUAACACGAGGAAACUUGUGCUAAUACCGGAUAAGUCUUUACGGAGAAAGCUUUAUGCACCAUUGGAUGAGCCUGCACUUGAUUAGUUUGUUGGUAGGGUAAUGGCCUACCAAGACUGUGAUCAAUAGCUGAUUUGAGAGGAUGAUCAGCCACAUUGGGACUGAGACACGGCCCAAACUCCUACGGGAGGCAGCAGUGGGGAAUCUUGCACAAUGGAGGAAACUCUGAUGCAGCGAUGCCGCGUGAGUGAAGAAGGCCCUUGGGUUGUAAAGCUCUUUCGUCGGGGAAGAAAAUGACUGUACCCGAAUAAGAAGGUCCGGCUAACUUCGUGCCAGCAGCCGCGGUAAUACGAAGGGACCUAGCGUAGUUCGGAAUUACUGGGCUUAAAGAGUUCGUAGGUGGUUGAAAAAGUUGGUGGUGAAAUCCCAGAGCUUAACUCUGGAACUGCCAUCAAAACUUUUCAGCUAGAGUUUGAUAGAGGAAAGCAGAAUUUCUAGUGUAGAGGUGAAAUUCGUAGAUAUUAGAAAGAAUACCAAUUGCGAAGGCAGCUUUCUGGAUCAUUACUGACACUGAGGAACGAAAGCAUGGGUAGCGAAGAGGAUUAGAUACCCUCGUAGUCCAUGCCGUAAACGAUGUGUGUUAGACGUUGGAAAUUUAUUUUCAGUGUCGCAGCGAAAGCGAUAAACACACCGCCUGGGGAGUACGACCGCAAGGUUAAAACUCAAAUGAAUUGACGGGGACCCGCACAAGUAGUGGAGCAUGUGGUUUAAUUCGAAGAUACGCGCAGAACCUUACCAACACUUGACAUGUUCGUCGCGACUUUAAGAGAUUAAAGUUUUCGGUUCGGCCGGACGAAACACAGGUGCUGCAUGGCUGUCGUCAGCUCGUGUCGUGAGAUGUUGGGUUAAGUCCCGCAACGAGCGCAACCCUCACUUUUAGUUGCCAUCAUUUAGUUGGGCACUCUGAAAGAACUGCCAGUGAUAAGCUGGAGGAAGGUGGGGAUGACGUCAAGUCCUCAUGGCCCUUACGUGUUGGGCUACACACGUGCUACAAUGGUAUCUACAACAGGAAGCAAGACGGCGACGUUAAGCAAAUCCUUAAAAGAUACCUCAGUUCGGAUUGCACUCUGCAACUCGAGUGCAUGAAGCUGGAAUUACUAGUAAUCGUGGAUCAGCGUGCCACGGUGAAUGCGUUCCCGGGUCUUGUACACACCGCCCGUCACACCAUGGGAGUUGGUUCUACCUUAAGGCAAGGUUUAAAACCCUUGACCACGGUAUAGUCAGCGACUGGGGUG